rnacentral:rRNA from 1 species
AGAGCGAACGCUAGCGGCAAGCUUAACACAUGCAAGUCGAACGCACAUCUUCGGGUGUGAGUGGCGAACGGGUGAGUAACACGUAGGUUACGUACCCUCUGGUGGGGAAUAACUUGGGGAAACCUAAGCUAAUACCGCAUGUGUCCUUCGGGAUGAAAGCCUUCGGGCGCCAGAGGAGCGGCCUGCGGCCCAUUAUUUAAUCCUUGUUGGUAGGUAACGGCCUACCGAAGGGUACGAGUGGGUAGCUGGUCUGAGAGGAUGAUCAGCCACACUGGAACUGAGACGACCGGUACCAGACCUCCUACGGGGAGCAGCGAGGUGGGAAUUAGUU